ACCAGGAUGGCCGAGUGGUUAAGGCGUUGGACUUAAGAUCCAAUGGACAAAUGUCCUUCGUGGGUUCAAUCCCACUCCUGGUA